rnacentral:rRNA from 1 species
CGCGCGAUGGGAGCGGCUGAUGUCCGAUUAGCUAGUUGGUGGGGUAAAGGCCUACCAAGGCUGCGAUCGGUAGCGGGUCUGAGAGGAUGAUCCGCCACACUGGGACUGAGACACGGCCCAGACUCCUACGGGAGGCAGCAGUGGGGAAUUUUGGACAAUGGGGGGCAACCCUGAUCCAGCCAUGCCGCGUGAGUGAAGAAGGGCUUCGGGUUGUAAAGCUCUUUCGGCCGGGAAGAAAUCGGGUGGGUGAAUAGCUCAUCUGGAUGACGGUACCGGAAGAAGAAGCACCGGGCUAACUACGUGCCAGCAGCCGCGGUAAUACGUAGGGUGCGAGCGUUAAUCGGAAUUACUGGGCGUAAAGGGUGCGCAGGCGGCUGCUCAAGACAGCUGUGAAAUCCCCGGGCUCAACCUGGGAAUUGCGGUUGUGACUGAGUGGCUGGAGUACGGCAGAGGGAGGUGGAAUUCCACGUGUAGCAGUGAAAUGCGUAGAGAUGUGGAGGAACACCGAUGGCGAAAGCAGCCUCCUGGGCCAGUACUGACGCUCAUGCACGAAAGCGUGGGAGCAACAGAUUAGAUACCCUGGUAGUCCACGCCCUAACGAUGGCCACUGGUGUUCGGUGGGGAGACUCAUUGAGUACGUAGCUA